rnacentral:rRNA from 1 species
CCUACGGGGGCUGCAGUGGGGAAUAUUGGACAAUGGGCGAAAGCCUGAUCCAGCCAUGCCGCGUGUGUGAAGAAGGCCUUCGGGUUGUAAGGCACUUUCAGUGGGGAAGAAAGCCUUGGGGCUAAUACCCUCGAGGAAGGACAUCACCCACAGAAGAAGCACCGGCUAACUCCGUGCCAGCAGCCGCGGUAAUACGGAGGGUGCGAGCGUUAAUCGGAAUUACUGGGCGUAAAGCGCGCGUAGGCGGUCUGAUAAGCCGGUUGUGAAAGCCCCGGGCUCAACCUGGGAACGGCAUCCGGAACUGUCAGGCUAGAGUGCAGGAGAGGAAGGUAGAAUUCCCGGUGUAGCGGUGAAAUGCGUAGAGAUCGGGAGGAAUACCAGUGGCGAAGGCGGCCUUCUGGACUGACACUGACGCUGAGGUGCGAAAGCGUGGGUAGCAAACAGGAUUAGAUACCCCGGUAGUC